rnacentral:misc_RNA from 1 species
AAGGAGCGUCUGCCCACACACCCCCGAACAGUCGGGGCGCGUGUGCGGCCAGAGAUCGAUUGUCCCCGCAUGUGGGACACGGUUGCUCAUGGGUGGAACGCUGACAACCAUCCCUCGUCGGAGUCCUUCUCACACAGGAGGAUUCGAGGGGUUAUAUCGGUGCACUGUUGGGUCCUGAGAGAACACGCGAGUGUUCGAUCAGCGACGAUGCCUGUCAAAGCUUCUGCCGGUCGGUGGGGUGAGUAGUGGGUGUUGUGUGUUGUUUGAGAACUGCACAGUGGACGCGAGCAUCUUUGUU